UAGCCCCUCCCCCGACGACCCCCUCACCUGACUGUGCUACUCUCGGGACGGAGACCCGCCCCGGCUGCACCAGACCAGGUAGGCUCCUUGACCAGCCCCCAAGGCUGCUCGUAAUUACCGAGGGGGCCCCACUUCAGAUGCGCCCCGAUGAGGCCUCUGGUGCCGGGAGAGGGGGUACAGAGUUUCCCACUCAGAGCCGCAGGACGCCAGUGAGGUCUGGCGGUGCUGGGGAUCCCGCCUGCGGUCGCUGUCCCCGGAGGCCAGGACCCAACCGGCAGGUCCCGGCUGACCGAGGUCUGGCCUCAGGACCCCCGCUUCCCCUCGAGGACGAAAUCCAGACUCUCUGCCGCGAGGGCUUUCUCGACUUUGUAGAUCAAGGUCAGGCACCUGAACCUUGGAGCAUAGACCUCAAAGUCCCGACAUCUGAUGACACUUAGUGGAUCUAAAGCAAUGUUUCCAGCCUUUUCAGCUAGAAGCGUACUAUGAACUUUCAAGGACUCACCAAGAGGCAUUCUCAUGUCCAUCCAGUAAUCCAGCCAUGUCUUCAUCUCGUCUCUAAUCCCUACCCACUUAGUGUGUGGUUUCUGGAACAUCCCAAUCUUUUUGUGCUUUUUUUUUUUAUAAUUCUGAAAGUUUCAUAACUUAGGUUGUUGAAAGAAUAGAAAGAACCUGAAAAACACAUUGAAAGUUCACAUAGCUUUCUUUUUAGAGCUGAUGACUUUAAAUUCUGCAAACCAUAAAGAAGUUUAUCUUCUUGUCCACAGUAGUCAUUUUUCACUCGUUGCAGGACUAAAUUAGAAAACUUUGAGAGCAGUUGUACAAUGUAUUUGGCCUACAUUUUAGCAAAUGUAUUUAAUCAUACUCUUUUAUAUAAUUUUUAAGUUGUUGCUUUGUCACCUUAACAUUAUUUAAGUAUUUAGUCAGGGACAAGGGCACGACUUUUUUUGUAACUAUUCUAGUACUUAGUGCUAUGCUAGGCAGCUAGUGAUAUAAAAAAAUUUUUAAAGAAUGUAUCAUUGGACGUAACUCAUUGAUCAUCUACUAUGUGUAAACCACAGUGCUAAGCUCCAUGGUGACACAAAGAUGAAGAGGAAUGAGGACCUCACCGAAGGUUGUUGAUUUGCCCAAGUUUGUUUAGCUAAUAAGCCAUGGUACAUUGUCUCAAGCCUUGUCUUCUUAUUGAGGAGAUGCCAGGGACAGACUCCAGGUAACUGGCUGUGUACAGGCUGGACCAGAGUCUGCACUUGGAGGUGAUGAUCAAAACCCUUGAAAUGGAAGAGAUCACAAGGGAGAGCCCACAACCAGUAUUUAGAAACACUUUCACUCACUAUCCCUUUGCAGUAAAUAAAACAAUACAAAAGGACAAAAGAGAGUGCAGAAAGCUAGAAAGCACAGUAAAGCAAUUAAACCACUUGGGAAGAACCUGCCACAAGCUUGAUUUUCUUAAGUGCACGAUGAAGCAGCUAGCUGAGGAAGCUUGGCCAGACAAUAAAAUGCCCUUUGGGAGAUGAGAAGAAGGAAAUAGGGUUUAGUGCAUACAAAUCGUGGAAGGGGAGAUAAGAAAGUGAGGUAGACAAUUAGAGAAGUAUAUGGGAAAACAAGGCAAGAGGAGACUGAAAUAGAUGGACAAGCUGGUGGGAGGGAAAAAAGCAUUAGGGCGGGGAGGGCAGGGUGGGUGGAAUGUUUUGGAUUAAUAUCGCUCAUUCAUUUCUCCCCUUCCUAAUUCCCUCCUUUUUUUCCUUCCAUUUUAAUCUAUUUUAUGCCAGGCAAUGAGCCAGGCUCAAAGAUACAAACAAGCUACUCUGAGAUGAUAAAUGAAAUAAAAAAUACAGCAGUCCGGUGCCUCAGGUGGUUGGAGCACUGUGCUUCUAAUGCCGAGGGCCACCGGUUCGGUUCUCACAUGGGCCAGGGAGCUGCGCCCUACAACUAGACUGAGAAACAAUGGCUUAAAAACCGGGGCAGGGGCAAAAAAAAUAAAAAGAAAUACAAAUACAAUUUUUGUCAACGGGGUACCAGCCUCUACUUGAAUACCUAAAAUGCUUUGGG
ensembl:lncRNA